GCACGGGUGGCUGAGUGGUGAGGCAGCGGAUUGCAAAUCCGUAUCACGCCGGUUCGAAUCCGGCUCCGUGCUCCA
rnacentral:tRNA from 1 species